GGGGCUGUGGCUCAGCGGUAGAGCACUUGUCUCACAUGUGUGAAGCCCUGGGUUCAAUCCUCAGCAUCACAA
rfam:Ictidomys tridecemlineatus contig035943, whole genome shotgun sequence.